ensembl:rRNA 5S_rRNA 5S ribosomal RNA
GAUUACGGCCAUAUCACACUGACAAAGCCCGAUGUCGUCUGAUCUCGGAAGCUAAGCAGAGUUGGGCUGGCUCAGUACUUGGAUGGGUCACCGCCUGGGAACAUCCCGUGCUCUAAGCA